rnacentral:rRNA from 2 species
UGGGGAAUAUUGCUCAAUGGGGGGAACCCUGAAGCAGCAACGCCGCGUGAGUGAUGAAGGCCUUCGGGUUGUAAAACUCUGUCCUUGGGGAAGAAGAAAAUGACGGUACCCAGGGAGGAAGCCACGGCUAACUACGUGCCAGCAGCCGCGGUAAUACGUAGGUGGCAAGCGUUGUCCGGAAUUACUGGGCGUAAAGGGUGCGUAGGCGGUUGUUCAAGUCAGAUGUGAAAUACCCGGGCUUAACCUGGGGGGUGCAUUUGAAACUGGAUGACUGGAGUGCAGGAGAGGAAAGCGGAAUUCCUGGUGUAGCGGUGGAAUGCGUAGAUAUCAGGAGGAACACCGGUGGCGAAGGCGGCUUUCUGGACUGUAACUGACGCUGAGGCACGAAAGCGUGGGGAGCGAACAGG